GAGUGAACUAGCUAACUGGAAUCACAUUUGUGUCAUUUGUGAUAAUGUAAAGGAAAAAUAAUGAUGUCACUUUACUAUUAGUGUUGUCUAAAGCUGGUGCCAGAAGACUCGGUAAUGCCAGAGACGCGAGCGUUAAUCAUCAUAAUCAGGCGUAAAGGGUGUGUAGGCGGCUUUGAUAAAAUUAAAGCUAGAAUCAUAUAGAGGUUAAAUACCAGAGAAUUAUUUGAGUAAGGAUGAUAUCUUUAGAUACAUUUAAGAAUUCUAAUUAGCGAAGGCUCUUUUCCAAUUAAUGAUUGACGCUGAGAAACGAAGGUUUGGAACGACAAUAGGAUUAGAUACCCCCGCAUCCCUCUCUGUCAACGAUGAAUGGUAGUUGUUAGUUCUAAUGAACUAGUGGCGAUGUUAACGCGUUAACCAUUCCGCCUUGUGAGUACGAUUGCAAAGUUGAAAACAAAAAAAUUAGUCGGUUUCGGAG
rnacentral:rRNA from 1 species